UACGUAGGUGGCAAGCGUUAUCCGGAAUUAUUGGGAGUAAAGAGCGCGCAGGUGGUUGAUUAAGUCUGAUGUGAAAGCCCACGGCUUAACAGUGGAGGGUCAUUGGAAACUGGUCGACUUGAGUGCAGAAGAGGGAAGUGGAAUUCCAUGUGUAGCGGUGAAAUGCGUAGAGAUAUGGAGGAACACCAGUGGCGAAGGCGGCUUCCUGGUCUGUAACUGACACUGAGGCGCGAAAGCGUGGGGAGCAAACAGGAUUAGA
rnacentral:rRNA from 1 species